rnacentral:rRNA from 1 species
GACAGAGGUCCCAAGCGUUAGGCGGAAUCACUGGGUUUAAAGGGUGCGUAGGUUGAUUGGUAAGUCAGUGGUGAAAUACUCCGACUCAAUCGGAGAACUGCCGUUGAUACUAUCAAUCUUGAAUAUGGUGGAGGCGGGCGGAAUGCGUCAUGUAGUGGUGAAAUACUUAGAUAUGACGCAGAACACCCAUUGCGAAGGCAGCUCGCUACGCCAUUAUUGACACUGAGGCACGAAAGCGUGGGGAUCAAACAGG